UACGGAGGGUGCGAGCGUUUGUCCGGAAUCAUUGGGCGUAAAGGGCGCGUAGGUGGCGGGACAAGCGUGCGGUGAAAGCCUGGGGCUCAACCCCGGGUCGGCCGUGCGAACUGUUUUGCUUGAGCACUGUAGAGGCAGGCGGAAUUCCGGGUGUAGCGGUGGAAUGCGUAGAGAUCCGGAAGAACACCGGUGGCGAAGGCAGCCCCCUGGGCUAGCACUGACGCUCAGGCACGAAAGCGUGGGGAGCAAACAGG
rnacentral:rRNA from 1 species